GACGAACCGUGCGAACGUUAUUCGGAAUCACUGGGCUUAAAGGGCGCGUAGGCGGGCUCGCAGGUCAGGGGUGAAAGCCCACGGCUCAACCGUGGAAGUGCCUUUGAUACCGUGAGUCUCGAGGGAGGUAGGGGCGUGCGGAACUUCCGGUGGAGCGGUGAAAUGCGUAGAUAUCGGAAGGAACAUCGGUGGCGAAAGCGGCGCGCUGGACCUCUUCUGACGCUGAGGCGCGAAAGCCAGGGGAGCAAACAGG
rnacentral:rRNA from 1 species